rnacentral:lncRNA from 1 species
CACUGUUCAUAAAAAAAUCACCAUAAUUAAUACACCCACUAUCAACAUCCAUAACAACAUAACCUUCAACACCCUUUUGUUUUCUUCAGUAAAAAUAUGUUUCAUCUUGAAAUAUAUUAUAUACACUGUUAAAAAAGUUUUUACCUGAUCAUCCCAGAUUUUUUCUUUGUUGUAGAUUACAGCUGCUCCAAAACUCCUUGCUGGGUUAAUGCCAGUGCCAGUAACUGGGAUUGUAGCCAAGUGAACCAUGAACACAGCAAAGCCAAUGGGGAGGGGUGCUAGUACCUUCAUAUUGAAAAAGUGAGAGCAUGAAUUAGUAAUAAAGUUUGGCCACUAAUGAGAGUUUUUUAGAAAUUGUUUUGGAACAUAUAUGGUGCUUACAGGAACAUGGGAGUCCCUAGCGUUCCUCUUAGGAUCAGUGGCAGAGAAGACAGUGUAGACAAGAACGAAG